AUUGAACGCUGGCGGCAUGCCUUACACAUGCAAGUCGAACGGCAGCACGGGUGCUUGCACCUGGUGGCGAGUGGCGAACGGGUGAGUAAUACAUCGGGACAUGUCCUGUAGUGGGGGAUAGCCCGGCGAAAGCCGGAUUAAUACCGCAUACGAUCUACGGAUGAAAGCGGGGGCCCUUCGGGCCUCGCGCUAUAGGGUUGGCCGAUGGCUGAUUAGCUAGUUGGUGGGGUAAAGGCCUACCAAGGCGACGAUCAGUAGCUGGUCUGAGAGGACGACCAGCCACACUGGGACUGAGACACGGCCCAGACUCCUACGGGAGGCAGCAGUGGGGAAUUUUGGACAAUGGGCGAAAGCCUGAUCCAGCAAUGCCGCGUGUGUGAAGAAGGCCUUCGGGUUGUAAAGCACUUUUGUCCGGAAAGAAAUCCUUGGCUCUAAUACAGUCGGGGGAUGACGGUACCGGAAGAAUAAGCACCGGCUAACUACGUG
rnacentral:rRNA from 1 species